UUUAGAGCAUGAUGAACCCAGCCGUUAGCAGGAAGGCGGCACAACAACGUCAGCGGCGCACCUACAGAGUGAGAAGAGAUAUUUUCGCUGAGUACGACGAUGCUGAGUUACUGAAAAGAUUCAGAUUGGACCGUGCUGGUAUUGUUGCAGUGACUGAUAUAGUGAGAGACAAGCUGCAAAGUAAAACUGAAAGAAAUAGAGCCUUGACCCCUGAGAUGGUGGCCAUCACAUUACGAUAUUUAGCCACAGGAAAAAUGCAACAGUGCAGUUGUGAUGAUUUUGGAACAACGCAGCCCACUAUCAGCCGUGCAAUAUCACAGACAAUUGAUGCACUGGCUGACCCAGAAGUAAUCUGCCAGUUCGUGGCUUUCCCUCACACCCAGCGUGAAGUGCAGCAAAAACAGGCAGAGUUCAUGCAAGUAACUCAGUUUCCCGGUGUUGUGGGAGUGAUUGAUGGCACUCAUAUAAGAAUUGUGUCUCCUCAUGUCGAUGAACAUGUAUAUGUGAACAGGAAACGCUAUCACAGCAUAAAUGUGCAAGUAGUAUUUGAUGCUCACUAUAAGAUUCUUGACAUUGUGGCAAGGUGGCCUGGCUCAGUCAACGAUGCAAGAAUACUAGAUAAGUCAGCACUCAAACUGAUGUUUGAGGAACAACAUGUACCUGCAGGAUGCUACCUUCCCGGGGACAGUGGCUAUCCCUGUAAGCAGUGGCUCCUCACUCCUUACCUUCGCCCUCAAACUGUUGCACAAGCUAAUUAUAACAGUUCCAGUACCUUACGAUGCAGCCAAGGGGACUGACGCCACCACCACCACUGCCACCACCGCCACAACAAGGGUUAUUCGAGUGGGGAACAUGCUUCAGGUGUUGCCCCAAGAUGCCUCAGCCCCGCAGCCCCACUUCCCCAUGAUAGUGCAGGCAGGGAAUGUCAUACAGGUUGUUCCAGCUGACAACACGCAGGUAUUAGGGGCAGAAGUCGUUGGAGUUGGUCGGGUCAUGCAAGUGGUCGGAGUCCCAGGCUUUCCCCCGACCCCAGCCCCAGACCCCUGCCCCAGCCACCCCUCUCCCUGUGACCCCUGCCCAGUCAUCCCUCACCCCCUCCUGCCCCCUGCGGUGCUGCCAGCGGGGGUGAUGGGAGGUGGAGGUGGGCCACACACACCUGGGUUAGCUGUGGCUUGGCUUAUCUCCCUCCUCAGCAGCAAAUCCCGAGGAUCAACGAGGACAUGGUGGACCCAGAGAUUGCAGCAGCAGCGAGAGAGAGAGAGAGAAGCAAGAGAGGAGGGAGAGGAAGGAGAGGAGGAGGAGAGAGAGGGAGGCCAGGAGGGAGGCACGUCAGAGAGAGAGGGAGAGGAAGAGGUUGAUUCUGUUACAACAACAACUGCAACAACAACAACAGUUAGUCAGUGAGGAGGGGGAGGGGCCGUCCUCUGAUGCUGAGGAUGAGGUAUUGUUCAGGGAGGCCAUGUCGGAGGUGCCGGUGGUGGGGUCGCCAGUUCCGGAGUACGAGGUGGAGGAGGAAAAGGAAGAGGAGGACGAGGAGGAGGCACGGAUAAGGAAGAAGAAAAGAUUAUUACCUGUAGCCCUCCCUCCAGCUGAUAAGGGGAUAUUAAGGAGCCCUUCCUACAGGUUCGUUCGAUGCAAGGAGUUGGCACAGGAGGCGUCCGAGGCUGUGUAGAGCGGCCGUCUGAACCUGGUGCCACAGCUUACUAUGUUCAACAGAUGCCUGAAGGAAGUGUGUGUAAGGGAGGAUAAAGAGAUCAUGCUGGCCUAUGCAGACGAUGUCGCUGUCGUGACAGGAAGCCAACAAGAUCUUCAAGAGGCCAUGACAAGAUGGAAUGAUGUUUUAAAUAGGGAAGGAAUGAGAAUGAACAAACAAAAAACUUAUUUACUAGUGGACAAGCAACAAGUGAUGGUGUGGCUCUGAGCCACUGUAGUAGGGAUGUUAUGGUUUAAGUGUAGGAAGUUGCAAAUGCUCACCUAACAAUUGCACCUUAGUAGAAAAACACAAACAGGAAGUUUAUGCAAGUUUUUAUCCUUAUAUAAAAUGUUGUAUUGCAUCAAACCUCCAUACAUUACUGUCUCUAUCCAGUAUGAGACCGGUGUUCAGGAAGCACAAGCAUGUGCUGAAUAACAAGAAGCCGGCAUUGGUGAAGGUGACAACAUUUCAUCUAUUUAUACAUACUUUUUAUUAUUAAAGCUUAUCUUAUAAUUAUUUCUGAAGAGAUUGACUAAUUUUUGUAGUAUUUAUGACUUAGAACUAUGAUAAAGCUAUGAAUUGAUAUAAUUCCUGAUUUGUUUUAUCUUUUCAUUAUCCUUCCUUUGUUAAUUGAGCAUUUUAUAUUACUUAGCUUAAAAAUGCAAGAACGGUUCAGAAGUAUCCAACCUUGGGCUAAGGGCCAAAAUUAUGGUAUCAUUCAAAAUGUCCUUCAAAGAAAGCCCUCUGUAAUCCAACACACUUAGCCCAUUAAUCCUUCCAUUUCUCAUCAAUUUGUUCAACAUUCAUAUUUUUCCCUUAUAGGGUUGAACAAUUUUCAUGGGUUCAGAGCAAAAGGCUUCCUCAUUCCUCCCCAAGGUAUUCUCGGAUGGUAAGCAGGUUUGACUCUGGAGCAAACCUGACCAAGGGCUACUGCCCAAGGCUACAGAGGUUCCUCUCCCUGAGGCUGAAUGCACCAUGUGAGAUGGUUCUGUUAUGUGGAUGAAUGUCAUGGUGGAUAGCAGUGCCACCACAUUCCUACAAUCAUCCAUCACUCCACUGCUCAAACGCUUCUGCAACCAAUGAUAGGUAUGCUGCCACAUUCUGCAUGGUCUCCUUGGCUCUCAGAUAAGGAUACUGUCAACAGGUUUGGGAUUGCCAAAAAAUCAUAAGGAGCUAUGUCUGAAAAGUUCAGAGAGAGAGAGAGAGAGAAAGAAUGAGCAAGAGAAAGAGUAGGAUGAAGCAAAGGAAGAGUCAAGAGGGAGGAAGAGAGAGUAGGACAAGAAAAAACAGAACAAAUAAAUCCCCUACACGUCUUGUCUCCAUUCACACAAGCCAUGAAAAGCUUGUCCAUCCCUGAGUGCUCAGAAGCAGUGUUCCACUGAUGAUGUGGAAACUUGAGACACCCAAUCAUUUAAUGGGCUUUAGUAGGUUUUGUCACCAGUCUUCUGUGUGUCACUGACUACAUUUUGAAAUUUUUAUCUGUUCUAUUUAAUUUUGUGUGUAUGUACACAAUGUUUAUGGUCAAUAAACUAUUUAUAAAACUAUUUAUCUGUGUGAGUAAGAUAAAAGCAGUUAUUAUUAUUAUUAUUAUUAUUAUUAUUAUUAUUAUUAUUAUUAUUAUUAUUAUUAUUAUUAUUACACAUUUUCCUCCUUGUAUUUAAAUAUUAUUAUUAUUAUUAUUAUUAUUAUUAUUAUUAUCAUGAAUUGUUCUUGUUUAUAAAUAAAAUACUGUAACUGA